CGUUGUUUAGCAGUUGUUUAGUUAAAUAUUGAUUUCUCUCUCUGUCAUCAUUGAUUUGAAAUUCGAAGCAAGAGAUUGGGUUUAACUAAUUGACCCCCGAACAUAACAGGCCGUGUCAUUCCGCAAAGAAGAAUUUGUAGCCACUGUAGCUAAGCACGUGCAUAUGUGUUUGAUGAUAAUACUGUCCUCCUGACCGUUUUCGACCACAGCUGCCAAUAUCAAGAAAGAUUAGCUAACUGCGCUGGACAUAUGCGUAAACACAGAUGCAAAAAAUAAAAGAUGGAAUCUCUAUUACCUCACUCUCAAUGUGUUUUUACCACUAACUUAGGCAUUUAAUAUAAAGGGAAUUAUAAUCGCUAAUAAAAUGUACCGCGAU